rnacentral:rRNA from 1 species
GUCUCCUGAAGGAACGUUGAAGACGACAACGUUGAUAGGCCGGGUGUGUAAGCGCAGCGAUGCGUUGAGCUAACCGGUACUAAUGAACCGUGAGGCUUAACCUU